CUACCUACGGGGGGCAGCAGUCGGGAAUAUUGCGCAAUGGAGGAAACUCUGACGCAGUGACGCCGCGUAUAGGAAGAAGGUUUUCGGAUUGUAAACCCUUGUCGUUAGGGAGGACACAAGACAGUACCUAAGGAGGAAGCCCCGGCUAACUAUGUGCCAGCAGCCGCGGUAAUACAUAGGGGGCAAGCGUUAUCCGGAUUUAUUGGGUGUAAAGGGAGCGUAGACGGAGAAACAAGUUGGUUGUGAAAUCCCUCGGCUCAACUG
rnacentral:rRNA from 1 species